GGGUUGUGAGGUUAAGCGACUAAGCGUACACGGUGGAUGCCCUGGCAGUCAGAGGCGAUGAAGGGCGUACUAAUCUGCGAUAAGCGCCGGUAAGGUGAUAUGAACCGUUAUAACCGGCGAUACCCGAAUGGGGAAACCCAGUGUGAUUCGUCACACUAUCAUUAACUGAAUCCAUAGGUUAAUGAGGCGAACCGGGGGAACUGAAACAUCUAAGUACCCCGAGGAAAAGAAAUCAACCGAGAUUCCCCCAGUAGCGGCGAGCGAACGGGGAGGAGCCCAGAGCCUGAAUCAGCAUGUGUGUUAGUGGAAGCGUCUGGAAAGGCGCGCGAUACAGGGUGACAGCCCCGUACACAAAAGCGCAUGUGCUGUGAGCUCGAUGAGUAGGGCGGGACACGUGGUAUCCUGUCUGAAUAUGGGGGGACCAUCCUCCAAGGCUAAAUACUCCUGACUGACCGAUAGUGAACCAGUACCGUGAGGGAAAGGCGAAAAGAACCCCGGCGAGGGGAGUGAAAAAGAACCUGAAACCGUGUACGUACAAGCAGUGGGAGCACAGGUUUACCUGUGUGACUGCGUACCUUUUGUAUAAUGGGUCAGCGACUUAUAUUCUGUAGCAAGGUUAACCGAAUAGGGGAGCCGGAGGGAAACCGAGUCUUAAUUGGGCGUUAAGUUGCAGGGUAUAGACCCGAAACCCGGUGAUCUAGCCAUGGGCAGGUUGAAGGUUGGGUAACACUAACUGGAGGACCGAACCGACUAAUGUUGAAAAAUUAGCGGAUGACCUGUGGCUGGGGGUGAAAGGCCAAUCAAACCGGGAGAUAGCUGGUUCUCCCCGAAAGCUAUUUAGGUAGCGCCUCGUGAAUUCAUCUCCGGGGGUAGAGCACUGUUUCGGCUAGGGGGCCAUCCCGGCUUACCAACCCGAUGCAAACUGCGAAUACCGGAGAAUGUUAUCACGGGAGACACACGGCGGGUGCUAACGUCCGUCGUGAAGAGGGAAACAACCCAGACCGCCAGCUAAGGUCCCAAAGUCAUGGUUAAGUGGGAAACGAUGUGGGAAGGCCCAGACAGCCAGGAUGUUGGCUUAGAAGCAGCCAUCAUUUAAAGAAAGCGUAAUAGCUCACUGGUCGAGUCGGCCUGCGCGGAAGAUGUAACGGGGCUAAACCAUG
rnacentral:rRNA from 3 species